rnacentral:piRNA from 1 species
UGCAGGUCUCUGCAAAGAAGGCUUAGC